UACGAAGGGGGCUAGCGUUGCUCGGAAUCACUGGGCGUAAAGGGUGCGUAGGCGGGUCUUUAAGUCAGGGGUGAAAUCCUGGAGCUCAACUCCAGAACUGCCUUUGAUACUGAAGAUCUUGAGUUCGGGAGAGGUGAGUGGAACUGCGAGUGUAGAGGUGAAAUUCGUAGAUAUUCGCAAGAACACCAGUGGCGAAGGCGGCUCACUGGCCCGAGUACUGACGCUGAUGCACGAAAGCGUGGGUAGUCAAACAGGA
rnacentral:rRNA from 1 species